rnacentral:misc_RNA from 1 species
GAUGAAGAACGUAGCGAAAUGCGAUAAGUAAUGUGAAUUGCAGAAUUCAGUGAAUCAUCGAAUCUUUGAACGCACAUUGCGCCCCUUGGUAUUCCGAGGGGCAUGCCUGUUCGAGCGUCAUUAUAACCCCUCAAGCUCAGCUUGGUGUUGGGGCCUGCUGCACUGGCAGCCCUUAAAAUCAGUGGCGGCGCCAUCUGGCUCUAAGCGUAGUAAUUCUUCUCGCUAUGGAGUCCUGGUGGAUGCUUGCCAUCAACCCCCAAUUUUUCUAUGGUUGACCUCGGAUCAGGUAGGGAUACUCGCUGAACUUAAGCAUAUCAAUAAGCGGAGGA